rnacentral:rRNA from 1 species
GUCGAGGGGCAUCGGGAGGGAAGCUUGCUUUCCUUGCCGGCGACCGGCGCACGGGUGAGUAACACGUAUGCAACCUGCCCUCUUCAGGGGGACAACCUUCCGAAAGGGAGGCUAAUCCCGCGUAUAUCGGUUUCGGGCAUCCGAGAUCGAGGAAAGAUUCAUCGGAAGAGGAUGGGCAUGCGGCGCAUUAGCUAGACGGCGGGGUAACGGCCCACCGUGGCGACGAUGCGUAGGGGUUCUGAGAGGAAGGUCCCCCACACUGGUACUGAGACACGGACCAGACUCCUACGGGAGGCAGCAGUGAGGAAUAUUGGUCAAUGGGAGAGAUCCUGAACCAGCCAAGCCGCGUGAGGGAAGACGGCCCUAUGGGUUGUAAACCUCUUUUGUCGGGGAGCAAAGCGAACCACGUGUCCCGGACUGCGUGUAUCCGAAGAAAAAGCAUCGGCUAACUCCGUGCCAGCAGCCGCGGUAAUACGGAGGAUGCGAGCGUUAUCCGGAUUUAUUGGGUUUAAAGGGUGCGCAGGCGGAGGUGCAAGUCAGCGGUCAAAUCGCGGGGCUCAACCCCGUACUGCCGUUGAAACUGCAUCCCUUGAGUGCGCGAGAAGUAUGCGGAAUGCGUGGUGUAGCGGUGAAAUGCAUAGAUAUCACGGAGAACUCCGAUUGCGAAGGCAGCAUACCGGCGCGCAACUGACGCUCAUGCACGAAAGCGUGGGU